rnacentral:lncRNA from 1 species
GAUCAUCACAGUUAAUGUAUUGCAAGGUCUAACUAUAACAAGUGUAUCAUUGGAGACUUCAUCAAAAUCUGUGUCUUCCAGUAUCAAUUCGGGUGAAAUAUCUCCAAAGCAGUACUCUCCAGUAGAAUCUUUAAGAUUAUACGCCAGAUUCAUCAGUUGACAUAUGGCUUGCGCAGUAAUAUUUCCUUGGAUGGAAUUAAAAACUUGUAAACCCAGAGUAAUUAGCUUCUCAACCUCUUUUAUUCUCUGCAGAUUAUAGCACCUUCUAGCACCAGGUUGUAGAUCAGUCCACAUUUCCAAACUGGGAACGGGAUUAUAAGGAUCUGGAACGUUACAAAACAUGUCAGUCAGUGGCAUGAUAGGUAGGGAGAGAAUCCUGUCCAACCUUCUAUCGAUAUCAUGGUCACCAAUAGGGUUCUGAUUUCUUGGGAUGCCCUGUUGCUGAACAUAGACUUCUGGUUCAGCGCUCUGAACAAUUCUCUUCCUUUCCAUACCUGCAUGUGCAAGACCAACAAAAAAUAAUACGCAUACCCAUCAUAUAGUAAAGUCUUUACUUUUUGAAAUCCAUACAUAAACUAUCAUUUCUGGGCAUACUAAUCAAUUAUGAUGUGGUUUCAAUACUGUGCCUGAUCAAUAUAAACAAAUAUAAUGACAAAGCUCUACUACUGCUUUUGUCUAUAUGAGCACAUUCACAUAAAAAUAUAACACUAGAAAAAAAAAAUCAUAUGUUUACGUAUUUGGAUUAUUCAUUAAGUAGAGGCAGAAUGGAAAAGCGAAAGCCCUUCGGUCUCUCAGAUGUAAAGGUCAUAUAUUCUUUUUGCACCAGAGGAACCGGCAUCAUAAUCUGGGGUUAAUCAAGUAUUCAAUUGUUGAAGCUACAUUGUUAACAGCUUAACAUUACCUCCUAAAUAGCUACUCCCUCCGUCUCCUUCUACAUUUCCUUUUCGAAAAAAGAAAAUGUCCCAAAAUAUUUUUUUAAUUUCUUUUUCAAGAAUACCCCUGAAUCAUUUUCUUUAACGCAAUUCCUGAUGUUUGAUUAAUACAUGUACACACAACUCAAUUUAAUUUAGUACAAUUAUCAGACAAUGUAACCGGCACUUGUGCCAUUAAAGAGCCACUCAGACUAUUUCGGUAGAAAAAAGGCCCCAUAUGCCAUAAAACUUAUAGCUAAUGCCCAAAAUAGCAUAGUUCAAAAAAAUGGUCUUAAAUAUCAUUUAGUAAUUUUGAUAAUCUAGCAUUUCAAUUUUGGGAAGAAAACACUAGAUAGUGUUGCGUUUAGGGUUGAAAAUCACUGUAAAAUGCUAAACGAUCACAUAAAUUAACGUCUAGGGCUUCUAACACUGGAUCGUGCAGCGUUUAGGGUUUGUAAACGAGCGUUAAAAAGAAAAAGAUCAAAGACGCUACACGAUCUAACGUUUUGAACGAAGAAAUGAUAGAUCAGGCCAUCUUUUCCGAUACUGGUAUUUGGGGCCUUUUCCUCCCAAAUUGUGAGACUAGAGGCCUAACACCCAUUUGGAUACAACCAUAAUCACACUAGAAACACUUCUAAAAUGAUUCUACUGGAACAGAAAACAUUGUACAAUAUAACUCCUUCAGCUUAGCAACGAUCUACUCGAUUUAACAUUUUUCAAACACUUUUCUUCAACUUAGGUAAAACAUAAAAAUAAGCUUAGUAGAGUUAAAAUAGCAAAGAUGCAUGAAUAUAUUAUGGAUACAUAUGGGGAGAGUAGAGCAAAGAAAAUUACCUUCUAGAACAAUCUCAGAGGAAGAUGGAUGGAUAUAUGAGUACCGAGCUUUGUGCACAAAGAUUUGUUUUGGUCUUAAAGGAAGCCUGGGAAGACCAAUCGGAGUCCGAAACUCCAAAUUUUUGUUUGUUAUUAUUAAAACGUUGUACUACUCCCUCCGUCCCUUUUUAUCUGUCCAUUUUGGAAAAAAAAACACAUACCAAGGAAUAAUUGAUUGUAUGAACUUUUUCAUUAAAUACCUCUAAUUAAUAUCUUGAAAAUGGUGGAAUACCCCUACUUUAUGUCUUGAAAACAUGAAUUCAACCAAGUUUUAAAUAAGUCAAGCCUUGAAAAUUGAAAUUAUGGAGAUAUAUUUGAAAAACUAUCAUUAAAUUAGUUUUGAAAGUAUAAAUGGACAGAUAAAUAGGGACAAAUUCUUACUUCCAAAGUGGACAGAUAAAUAGGGACGGAGGGAGUAUUAAAUUUCAGUAUACUUCCUUCGGUUAAAUUUUGACGUAUAUAUUGAAAACUCAUGCUUACGAUUUGUUCCUACAUAAUUUUAAACGAUAGUUGAAGCCUUGGAGGUUAGUAAAAAAAUAAUCCUACAAAUUGAUAUAAAUAAUAAUAAUAUCCAAAAAAAAUUAAAAUAAUAAUAAUAUUCAAAUUCAGUCCGGUGAUAUUGGCUAUUGGCCGGGCGUAAUAAAAUUAUACAAUUAUGUCUCACCACAGCACAUGAGUAAUUUUAAGCGGUCAUUAUUUUAUUAGUUGUGUCAAUCAAUUUAUCAUUAUUAAUCCUCUAGAAAUAACUAUCGAUCAAUUUGUAAUCGAUGACAAGGCAUUUUAGGAUCAUUAAUUAGAAAAAUUAAUGCAUAUAUAGUACAUUAUUAAUAAAAUAUGAUAUAAUAUCAUUUGUAUCUAUUUUUAUAUCUAAUUUGAUAAUCGAUACUUAUAACAUUUUUCAAAAUAUAAUAUAUAUUAUUAUUUUAUUGAUUAUUAUUUAAUGGAUAGGGUUAAAUAUCGAAGUAGUCACUGAAGUGAGCUUCAUAUAUCAAAAUUUUAAUUAAUUUGAACGGGAUCUCAAAUGCACCAUUCUAGUAACGAAUAAUGAACCUACCGUUAAUUUGACUUUUUAAUUAAACGGAAAUCCUAACGUUGCACAUGUGAGUUGGCCACGGUGGAAAGUAAAACUUCUUUGCUUCUUACGUGGACAAAACCAGUGGCAACAUGUUCUUAUCUCAGCUUAUAUAUGUAUUUGAAUGUAAUAUACUUAUAACCCAGCUAAUAUUCUCGUAGAAAAAUCCCAUCAAUUAAAAACUCGUAUGACAUAAAUGAUACCAGAUGCACCACUGGUAGUUCCUCAUCUUAGCUCGCAAGCAAGUUAGGUGCUUCUUAAUUUCAGAUGACAUUUCCUAGAAACUGAAAAACCAAUAACAAGGUUCUGCAUGUGCCUAACAUAAAUAUUUUUUUUUUAAUUUUUAAGAUGAUUAACGUGUGCAGGUGGUUCAUAAAUAUACUCUAUAAACUAAUGUAACUGGUAGAUGGAUAAAUCAAUUCAUAAUACAUCAAAAAUAAAGAAAAUUAAUUCUUAAAAUCACCAUCUCAUAACAAACUUGGAAAUACUGUGACAAAUUCUUAAAGUUAUCCUAAUAAGCAUACUGAAAUACAUUCCAAGUCUCAGAGCGCAAAAGUACUGCUGAAGUGUUCAAAUAUACCAAAAUUUAGCAAAACGACAUAAACAAAGGUUCUGCUGCUUAUAACAAAAGGUUGGUUAUAACUCAUUUCAAUCUCCACCAGUAGGAUCAUUGUUCUUCACAAAUGGCAACUUUUGCUUGUCAACAUUCUUUACUGCUCUUCGAACUUGUAUUUUCUGUCUUUUUGCUUCUUUUGGUGUUUUCUUCCUCUGUGCGACUACAUGAUUUUCAUCCUGUGUCACCACCGGUUCCUGUGCUGUUUGAGUCACCACUGGUACCUCAUUCUCAGUUCUUGUUCUUGUCUUUUUGUUGCCAGGUGGUUGAGUCUGAGUGCCUUGAUCAUUGUCCUGUAGUUGACUCUUUGUUGGACAAUUACUCUUUCUAUGAUCUGGUGAUUUGCACAAACUGCAAUGCAUUUUCCUUCGGUUACUAAACCUCUGCAAGAUAGGUCCAGUAGUUUUGACUUGAGAAGAUUGGAUCCUGUUGCCACCUUCCCAAUCUUCCCUCCUUCGCAACCUUUUAGGCCUUCCUCUAAGUUUUUUUGGAAUAUCAGGUGGUAGAAGUUCGUCUGUAGAAUGAACUUCCCAAAACUCUUCACCCUUUAUUGCUUCAAGGGAGUGUUGAUAUGAUGCCAAAUACUUGCUUCUCUUAUAGUAAUCUGAGAUAUAAUCAAUUACCUGGUGCCUCCGGUCAUAUAUUGCAGCAAUUGCAUGCUCACAGGGGAUUCCUGUGAGGUCGAAUACUCUGCAAGAGCAUGACAUUGUCUCCAGGUCUACAGUGUUAACCCUUGUCCCUUGUUUCACAGCAAACAACUUUUGACCAUCCCAGGAAGCAGUCCAAUUUCUCGACUCAGUGAUCAACAGAUCCAACCUCUUCUUAAUUCUUGGGCAGAUUAAGUAAUCAGUCUUGAGCAUUUCAUCCCUUUUCUGUCUCAUCCUAGUCAUGAGUUUGAAGUGUAUUUCCUGCAUCAUAGUCAGCAACGGCAUAUAUCUGCAACAUAUAUUUUUAUAAGCAUAAUUAUAAUAAUCUUAUAACAUAAAUUCAUACAACUACAUGCUUUAAAAAAAAAAAAAAAAUCAUACAACUACAUAACUUAAUGAUAUAAAUUUAACAUUACCGUUCAUUAAUUAUCCAUGCAUUAAAACACUCGCUCAUGUUGUUUUCUACAUUAUCUGCCUUACUAUGUGUACCAAAAUAUGCCUUACUUUUGACAACUGCUCAUGUGCAGGCUUGGAGAUUUUUUGAAGGUCUUUCAUUGCUUUUAUGUGUGCUGCAAGGUGUGUCACACAACAAGCAUUCCAGAAGGCUCUCUUCAAGGCCAAAGAUGGAAACCUAAAUAUAAAUAAAAAAAUUAUAUAGAUUUUGUACAGGAAGCAUGUAAAUUAGCAUGUUAAGGCAUACAACAUUAUUUACCUUUUCCUGAAAUUACUGUAAAUGUGUCUGCUGCAAAGUCUAUGUUCAACCCGAGGGAGCAAGUCCUUCAAGGCCUUGUCAAGGCCCUUUUGUUGAUCGCUAAUCACAGUGUAUCCUUCACCAUUACCCAACUCAAGAUCCUCACUCAAUUGCUCAGUAAACCACUUCUAUGACUCCGUGUUUUCACUUUCAACUACAGCAUAUGCAAUUGGGAACAUCUGAUUGUUCCCAUCCCUUCCAACAGCAGAUAAUAACUGUCCCCUGCACACUGUUUUCAAGAAGCAUCCGUCAAAACCUAUAAUAGGCCUACACCCAGCCUUCCACCCUUCCUUUAAAGCGUGGUAACAAACAUAAAUCCUCUUAAACUUGUUCGAGUCAGUUUCAUUCAAUCUUGUUGUCCUAAUCUGAACUGUAUUAUUCUUGUUACUUUUAAGGAUUUCAUUGGCAAAGUCCCUUAGUCUGGAAUAAUGCUCUUUAAGUGCUUCAGCCACACUUUCUAGUGCUAUUUUUCGAACCCUCAAUAUUUUUAUCCUUGGCACCUCUACCUCCAGUUCCUUCUUAAUUGUCUCAGCCAUCUCCUUAACCUUCCACUGUGGAUUUUUUCUAAUUCUAUCACCAUAGACUUGCAAAUUUCAUCCCCGCUUGCCAAUUGAUCACAUUACUAUCAGCACCAUGUUUUAAUCCUGCCAUUUUUCUUUUUAUUUUCUUAGGAUUUGGAGGACCUAUAUAUCCAAUUUUGCUAUUCUCGUCUUCGCUCGAAGAGUAAUCAGACCUAAGUUCCAUAGAACCAAAAUCAGAUUCGUCACUUAUAAGCAUUGGACCUACAGUGACAAUUUCAUUUCCAACCUGUACACCCUGAGUCAUGUCAUGGAUCACUCGCUUCUCAUUCCCUCUAUACUCUGUAAACUCCUCAUCACUAUUAAUAAAGAUUUCGUCAUCACUAAAACUCUCAGACUUCUCACUCUCAGUUACUACAUAAUAAUCUGGAUCAUUGUAAUCAGCAUCUCCCCUUUCAUUCUCCUCAUUUCCACCCAACUCAACAUUUUCACUUCCUUUUAAUUCACUUUCUUGGGCUACGUCAAUAACCUCAUCAAAUUCAUAGUGAUCAACAUAUAAAUCAAUCUUACCCAAGGGUUUGUGAAUAUCUACCAUUUCUCUUACUGUAUUAUCAUCAUACAAUAGUUUAACACCUUCUUCGAUAGACAUUCCAGAUGUUUGAAAAUAAACCAAGUCAGUGGGGCUAUAACCAUGUUUUUCGGCAAAAUCAUCCAAGUCUCUAAAUGAAAAUACAUCAGUGUCAAAACCAGGAAUAAAAUCAACUUUGCCCCCUUUAUAUUCGACUUUUGGUAUAUGUGACAACUCCCCAUGAUGAUGCACAUAUAUAGUUAUCAAUGACUCCAUACUGUGACAAAUAAUUACAAUUAACAACAAAAAGAAAGCAAACACGAUACCGAAAAAUGCAUAUAAUUAAAGAAAACAAAGCAACACAUAGACCCAACAAAAACAUAUAAGAAUACAUGAUCUGAUGUUCAUACAUGAAGAUAAGAGUACAUACCUCUUAUUUAGUGAAUAUUCGACUAACUAAACGCGAUUUCCCCCUGAUUGCGUCGCCGAUUAGAUGCAUGUAGUUGAAGCUCAGAGGGAUAGGGUUUUUUUAUCUGAGUUUGAUCGGGAUUGUUUUGUGUUUAGUACGUAAGAAGGUGUGCACUUACAGCUGGCACUUUCAACCCAGUCAGCUGCCACAUAUAUAUCAAGUCAGCAACGUUAGAAAUUCCGUUUAGUCAGAGAGUAAAACUAACGUAGUGUUCAUUAUCUAUUACUAAAAUGGUGCAUUUGAGACCCCGUUCAAAUUGAUUAAAAUUUUGAUAUAUGAGGCUCACUUCAGUGACUACUUUGAUAUUUAACCCUUAAUGGAUAUAUAAGGCCUGCACCAUUCGAGCUUCAAGAGUUCAAAAUAAGUACCGGAUUGCAGAUCGUGAAAGUUACUUUGCUAUUCUACCUUAAAUCACAUAUCAUAACUAGAACAAGAAAUACAAAUCAUUUAUAGAAGGUUUCAAGACAAUUUAACUCAGACAGAAAAGACUCGCGUCUCUGACAAACAAACUCAGGUUUUGAAAAUACUGUCAGUAAGUUCAUAUCAUGAGAAGCUAACUUAACUCCUUUCUUCACUGGCAUUGGCUGAAUGGUAAGCUUCACUUCCGUGCACCAAAGUCCAAACACACCAACAUUGUCCAAAACAGGGCCACAGACAUGACCGUAGUUAUCAACACUUGAAUGAUAAAAUGCACUGUAGAAUGUUAUUCUUGUUCUAGCUGAUAUGGCUUGGAAUCUCAGACUAGCAGUUUUGAAUCCUCCUUUUCCUUGUAAUGUAUAGGGCACUCUGAUAGUCCCCCUGGCCGCGAAAGCUUCAACCAUCAUCGAUCCCCUGCAGCCAUUCUUAGCGUCUCCAAUACUGAAGUUUAGGUAGUAGAAUUUGUAAGGCACUGUCCUUAUGAUUUGUGCAAUGGCACUUUCUCUUCCUGAUACUAAUUCUAUCGCAGUGUGCCCUGAGGGAAUGUAGAAAUGCCUCGAGUCAAUGUACUUGACUGGUUUCAGAGAUUCGAUGAUCCAGCCAGCCGCCAGGAAGUGGAGAAAUUUGAUCUUCUUGUUGUGGCAAGACAAGGACCCCUGUUGAGAAGGUCUUGUAUACAUGAGGGCCAACUUCAAAAUCUCCAUUCUUCAUUAAGUUACCUGCAUACAGUAAAAUGAUCAGCCACUUGGUAAAAAAAAAUAUAUGUAAUUUUGAACUAACCUCUAGUGUAUCUAAUAGGCAGGCAGCAUUUUAAUUAGCAAAAAAUAAAUAAAUUAGGCAGCAUUUCUUCGAUUGCAAUAGCAUCUAAGAGAGGACCGCAGGUUGGAUCUUCUUCGGUGCCAAUGUUAUGAAAGGUAAUCCUAAGAGAAGCUGAAGUAGCCUUAAAUUCUAAGGAGCACAUUAAUAAUUUAAGGAGCACGAUUGAAAUAGCCCAACUGAUUAAGGAUCAGCCACCCAAUUAUUAUAAAAUUAUAAGUCAUAUUGAUCAAAAAUAAAUAAAUAAUCAUAUCAUUUAUUCAUGCAACUUCGCAACAGAAAACAUACAUUUCCAUAUUCAUCUUUAAAAGAUCUAAACUACUAUAAGAUUAAGAAUGUGAAACUAAAAUGAUCAUACAAAAACUCAUGUAACCCAUCGUGAUCAUGUUACAUAAAUCAAAGAGUUGUUCUUGAUUUUUAAUUUAAGCGUGACAAUGAGUCAAUAAGAUGAUUUUUUUUUGGAAACUAACAUAAAAUUGGACAUAACGAUAAAUGAGUUAACACGGACAUAUGAUAUAUUCAAUAAGAGAAGGUACUUCACUGUUAAGGAAAUGCUUGCUUUGUUGCUUUGUUAUCAUCCAAAGAAUAUCAGAAGUAAAGACUAAAUUUUUCUUUCUCCAGAACUUUUUGUAUCUUUCGUCCCAUCUCUGCAAAUUGUCAGAGCCCUUCGUGCAUACUCCUUAGCGAUCUUGAGUUGACCACCCGACAAUUCUUUAACUCUGACUAUGUUUCUGGCAUCCUCAUUCCCGCUUGCUGGUAUAAUUGAGUGAUACAGAUGUGCCAAGACAGCUGUAAACGUAGCACAAUUCUUUGUUUGCAGUUGAUUGAAGAACCGACUGUUAAAGACUCUGGCAUAUUUCCACAUCUGUCUCUCCAUUCCUGGUUGCUCACUUGAUCCGUAAAGAUUGUUAAAUAUCGACUCCAGUGCAUUCAGCUCCACUUUAAAAUAAUUUGAGCGCAACACAUUUAUCAGUUGAUUGUUGGUUACCUUCAUAGCUUCCACACACUUCAAGAACAAUGGAAAACAAUGCAUCCCGGUAUACAAGAUAUGAUACCCGUAGAGAAACUCCUUCAACUGCUUUCCAUUUUCAACAGACUCUCCAGCAUACACCAAAUUAUAGAAAGUAUUCCUCAGUGUCUGAUUCGCAUCAAUCUGAAACUUGAUACAAUUGACAGCUUCAGGAACUGGAUGAAAAUUUUCAAAAGGUAAGGCAUAAUCAUAGAAAUCUUUGAACCGGUUUCUCAAAGGGCCUUCAAUUCUCAAAUAGUUUUCUGCUGAUUUCGUAUAUAGUCUCAUAUAACUUGUUGCAAGAUAACAAAACCCAUUUGCAACUCUUUCUUUAUACUCUGGUUCUUCAUGAGAGAUCAUCACAGUUAAUGUAUUGUAAGGUCUAACUAUAAGAAGUGCAGCAUUGGAGACUUCAUCAAAAUCUGUGUCUUCCAGUAUCAAUUCGGGUGAAACAUCUCCAAAGCAGUACUCUCCAGUAGAAUCUUUAAGAUUAUAGGCCAGAUUCAUCAGUUGACAUAUGGCUUGUGCAGUAAUAUUUCCUUGGAUGGAACUAAAAACUUGUAAACCCAGAG